UGGCUGUAAUCAGACUUGAAUGCAAAUUUUUGGGUAUAUAAGCUUAACGAAAACUAUAGGUUGACAUAGAUCCAUUUAUGAAACACACCAUAAUGUUGAAAUACGUCAAAAUUGCCGCUUUUGCUGCUGUAGUUCUAAGCAAUCUUAUCAUGACUGCUUAUGCACAAGGACAAGGGGAAUCACAGAAAUCACCAUAAAAAUUACAAUGAAUGACGAAUUCUAUAUCUGUUUUUGAAGCGGAUUAUGUAAUAUUGGAAUUUGACGUUAAUAAAUUAUUUGAAGGCAAUAA